rnacentral:rRNA from 1 species
UGGGGAAUAUUGCGCAAUGGGCGAAAGCCUGACGCAGCAACGCCGCGUGGAGGAUGAAGGCUCUCGGGUUGUAAACUCCUUUCAGCAGGGACGAAAAUGACGGUACCUGCAGAAGAAGCCCCGGCUAACUACGUGCCAGCAGCCGCGGUGAGACGUAGGGGGCAAGCGUUGUCCGGAUUUAUUGGGCGUAAAGAGCUCGUAGGCGGCUUGGCAAGUCGGAUGUGAAAUCUCCAGGCUUAACCUGGAGUCGCCAUCCGAUACUGCUAUGGCUAGAGUCCGGUAGAGGAUCGUGGAAUUCCUGGUGUAGCGGUGAAAUGCGCAGAUAUCAGGAGGAACACCAACGGCGAAGGCAGCGAUCUGGGCCGGUACUGACGCUGAGGAGCGAAAGCGUGGGGAGCGAACAGG